GAGACCUUCAAGAGAGAAAGAGAGAAGCCGAGUGAAGGGCUCGGAAGAGGAGAGAAGGGACUCGAGAGAGAGAUAGGAUUCAAGUAGGAAGAAAGCACGAGAUUUUCAUUCAUUCAAUCCUUCUCCUCUUACAUAAAAUGCCUCCUUAUUUAUAGGAGGGAAUGGGGUGGAGUAACCACCUUAAUUCAAGAGACACAUCCCUUCAUAUGAGAGGAGGAGAGAGAAGAUUACCCACAAAAAGUGGGCAGUUACAACCACUUUCUCUCAUUUGAAAGGGUGCCUUUAACCACGAGAUCUAGAGGCCAUUUAGGCCCAUGAGGAGGUAGGUCUAUGGAAAAAAUAGAAAAUUUUAAAAGAAAAGUCAAUGGGGUUGACUAUGGCCAUUAUAUGGGAUGAGAGGCUCCUAUAUUUAAGGAAAUGGGUUGACUAAAGGCUGUUGAGGCUUCUUAGGGUCAAAUAUUGAUUCAAGAUA
rnacentral:lncRNA from 1 species